GGGCAGGGCAGUGCCGGGCAGGGGGCCUGGCUCCCGGCUCCCGGCGGCUCCAGGCGAGCGCUCCCGCCGCGCCCGCGACACCGGAAACGGCUCGGCCCGGACGCCGCGCGCCGUGAUGACGCAGAGCAACGGGGAAGGGUGCACAGUUCUGAACAGUGGCAUCAGUACCAUCAAAUAUGAAGAUACCAUAUUUGAACAUUAUUUUCAGAGAGUUGGCCAGAAAACAAACAAACAACAAACAAACAAAGGAAUAGCUCUGUUGUACAUCUGGAUUCUGGCAAGAAGGACAUGAAACAAUAAAAAACUUACACUAACA